rnacentral:rRNA from 1 species
AGUGAACGCUGGCGGCGUGCCUAAUACAUGCAAGUCGAACGGAGAUUAAGUAGCUUGCUACUUAAUCUUAGUGGCGCACGGGUGAGUAAUAUAUAGCUAACUUGCCCAUUACUAAGGGACAACAGUUGGAAACGACUGCUAAUACCUUAUACUCCGUAUCUAUAUAAGUAGAUACGGGAAAGUUUUUCGGUAAUGGAUAGGGCUAUAUCGUAUCAGCUAGUUGGUAAGGUAAUGGCUUACCAAGGCUAUGACGCGUAACUGGUCUGAGAGGAUGAUCAGUCACACUGGAACUGAGACACGGUCCAGACUCCUACGGGAGGCAGCAGUAGGGAAUAUUGCUCAAUGGGGGAAACCCUGAAGCAGCAACGCCGCGUGGAGGAUGACACUUUUCGGAGCGUAAACUCCUUUUCUUGGGAAAGAAUUAUGACGGUACCCAAGGAAUAAGCACCGGCUAACUCCGUG